rnacentral:rRNA from 1 species
GAUGAACGCUGGCGGCGUGCCUAAUACAUGCAAGUCGAGCGAACAGAUAAGGAGCUUGCUCCUUUGACGUUAGCGGCGGACGGGUGAGUAACACGUGGGUAACCUACCUAUAAGACUGGAAUAACUCCGGGAAACCGGGGCUAAUGCCGGAUAACAUUUAGAACCGCAUGGUUCUAAAGUGAAAGAUGGUUUUGCUAUCACUUAUAGAUGGACCCGCGCCGUAUUAGCUAGUUGGUAAGGUAACGGCUUACCAAGGCAACGAUCCGUAGCCGACCUGAGAGGGUGAUCGGCACAACUGGAACUGAGCAAGGGUCAAGACCCCUACGGGAGGAAGCAGUAGGGAACCUCCCGAAAUGGGCGAAAGCCUGACGGAGAAAGGCGGCGUGAGUGAUGAAGGCCUUCGGAUCGUAAAACCCUGUUAUUGGGGAAGAAAAAAUGUGUAAGUAACUGUGCCCGUCUUGACGGAACCAAACCAGAAAGCACCGGCUAACUACGG